rnacentral:rRNA from 1 species
CCUACGGGAGGCAGCAGUGAGGAAUAUUGGUCAAUGGGCGAGAGCCUGAACCAGCGAAGUAGCGUGAAGGAUGACUGCCCUACGGGUUGUAAACUUCUUUUAUGAAGGAAUAAAGUGAGGCACGUGUGCCUUAUGGUAUGUACUUUAUGAAUAAGGAUCGGCUAACUCCGUGCCAGCAGCAGCGGUAAUACGGAGGAUCCGAGCGUUAUCCGGAUUUAUUGGGUGUAAAGGGAGCGUAGAUGGGUUGUUAAGUCAGUUGUGAAAGUGUGCGGCUCAACCGUAAAAUUGCAAUUGAUACUGGCAGCCUUGAGUACAGUUGAGGUAGGCGGAAUUCGUGGUGUAGCGGUGAAAUGCUUAGAUAUCACGAAGAACUCCGAUUGCGAAGGCAGCCUACUAGACUGCCACUGACAUUGAUGCUCGAAAGUGUGGGUAUCAAACAGGAUUAGAUACCCCGGUAGUC